rnacentral:rRNA from 1 species
UACAGAGGUCUCAAGCGUUGUUCGGAUUCAUUGGGCGUAAAGAGCGUGUAGGCGGCCCGGUAAGUCCGCUGUGAAAGUCGGGGGCUCAACCCUCGAAUGCCGGUCGAUACUGCCGGACUAGAGUUCGGAAGAGGCGAGUGGAAUUCCCGGUGUAGCGGUGAAAUGCGCAGAUAUCGGGAGGAACACCUAUGGCGAAGGCAGCUCGCUGGGACGUUACUGACGCUGAGACGCGAAAGCGUGGGGGAGCAAACAGG